GAUGAACGCUGGCGGCGUGCCUAAUACAUGCAAGUCGAGCGAACAGAUAAGGAGCUUGCUCCUUUGACGUUAGCGGCGGACGGGUGAGUAACACGUGGGUAACCUACCUAUAAGACUGGAAUAACUCCGGGAAACCGGGGCUAAUGCCGGAUAACAUUUAGAACCGCAUGGUUCUAAAGUGAAAGAUGGUUUUGCUAUCACUUAUAGAUGGACCCGCGCCGUAUUAGCUAGUUGGUAAGGUAACGGCUUACCAAGGCAACGAUACGUAGCCGACCUGAGCGGGUGAUCGGCCACACUGGAACUGAGACACGGUCCAGACUCCUACGGGAGGCAGCAGUAGGGAAUCUUCCGCAAUGGGCGAAAGCCUGACGGAGCAACGCCGCGUGAGUGAUGAAGGUCUUCGGAUCGUAAAACUCUGUUAUUAGGGAAGAACAAAUGUGUAAGUAACUGUGCACGUCUUGACGGUACCUAAUCAGAAAGCCACGGCUAACUACGUG
rnacentral:rRNA from 1 species